rnacentral:lncRNA from 1 species
UGUGUUUCACAAAGGCAUCGUAAAGGACUACUAAGUUGAUCGCAAGUUACGUCCUGUGUAUCAUCGUAAGUGUAUCGUAAACCAAGAAGAGUGCUUUCUUUCACGUCCGCACUUUUUACGAGUAUGGCAUGCCAAGUUAACAUUUUAAAUAAUUAUUACGUACGGAUUGCGAAUUAGGACGAUUUGUUUAUAUCAAUAUUAAUGCAAGUAAAGAAUUUGAGCCCCUUUUCAACAAUCAAGAUAAGACACUUUUAUUAUAGAUAUAAACUUAAUACAGAAUUUAGUACGAUUAAAGAAUUAUGCAAGUAUUCCUGAAAAUUAUUUUGCCUGACGAGUUAAGUAUACAUUUUGCACAGGGGGAAGGGAGGCUUUCAAAUACUUUCUUUCAUUGAAAUUAAAUUACUACGGC